UACAGAGGGGGCAAGCGUUGUUCGGAAUUACUGGCGUAAGCGUGCGCAGGCGGUGAUGUAGACAGAUGUGAAAUCCCCGGGCUCAACCUGGGAACUGCAUUUGUGACUGCAUCGCUGGAGUGCGGCAGAGGGGGAUGGAAUCCGCGUGUAGCAGUGAAAUGCGUAGAUAUGCGGAGGAACACCGAUGGCGAAGGCAAUCCCCUGGGCCUGCACUGACGCUCAUGCACGAAAGCGUGGGGAGCAAACAGG
rnacentral:rRNA from 1 species